CCUACGGGUGGCAGCAGUGAGGAAUAUUGGUCAAUGGGCGGAAGCCUGAACCAGCCAAGUAGCGUGCAGGAUGACGGCCCUACGGGUUGUAAACUGCUUUUAUACGGGAAUAACGCGCCUUACGUGUAGGGCUUUGCAUGUACCGUAUGAAUAAGGACCGGCUAAUUCCGUGCCAGCAGCCGCGGUAAUACGGAAGGUCCGGGCGUUAUCCGGAUUUAUUGGGUUUAAAGGGAGCGUAGGCCGCAUGUCAAGCGUGCUGUGAAAUGUCCGGGCUCAACCCGGGCCUUGCAGCGCGAACUGGCGUGCUUGAGUCCGCGGAAAGCAGGCGGAAUUCGUCGUGUAGCGGUGAAAUGCUUAGAUAUGACGAAGAACCCCGAUUGCGAAGGCAGCCUGCUGCAGCGGAACUGACGCUGAUGCUCGAAAGCGCGGGUAUCGAACAGGAUUAGAUACCCUAGUAGUC
rnacentral:rRNA from 1 species